GUUGGCGGUCUGACUAGAGGACGAUGGCUCUAUGUUAGACAUUUCUAUUCUGGAUUGAUGACCACCUUUCGUGCUCGGGGAUGUUUCAGAUGCGCAAACAGCAGACGUUAGAUACAGGAGGUGGCGCGGAGUACCUGAAAGAGGGUGAGAUGGACAAGAUGAAGAAUAAGCUUUGGUUUGCCGAACCAAAAAUGUCUGUCUGAAACUUGGACAAGAGGUGCUAAGUGGACCUGCAACAAGAGGAAAUCAAUAAGCAAAAGAACCAAAUUUGAUUGUAAGAAGCCUUG